GCUCCAGUGAGGGAAUAAAGGACGGCAAGUUGUCUUUGUAACGGGGAUACGUUACAAGCAGGGUGGCCACCCAGUUAUCAGCACAAGUUAGAAUGUGGUCAACUAGGCAGUCGUUGCGCAGGCACUUUGGUGACUCUAGAUAACUUCGGGCUGAUCUCACGUCCCUGUGACGGCAACGACGCAUUCGGAUGUUUGCCCUAUCAACUUUCGAUAGUACUUUCUGCGUCUACCAUGGUGUCCACGGAUAACUGUGAAUCAGGGUUCGAUUCUGGAG